rnacentral:piRNA from 1 species
AUUGCGCCAGUCUUUGCUGUGUGAAGGC